rnacentral:rRNA from 1 species
CCUACGUGUGGCAGCAGUGGGGAAUAUUGCGCAAUGGGCGAAAGCCUGACGCAGCGACGCCGCGUGAGGGAUGAAGGUCUUCGGAUCGUAAACCUCUGUCAGCAGGGAAGAACGGUCACUGUGCUAAUCAGCAGUGAAUUGACGGUACCUGCAAAGGAAGCACCGGCUAACUCCGUGCCAGCAGCCGCGGUAAUACGGAGGGUGCGAGCGUUAAUCGGAAUUACUGGGCGUAAAGCGCUCGUAGGCGGUAUGUCAAGUCAAGGGUGAAAUCCCCGCGCUCAACGUGGGAACUGCCUUUGAAACUGGCAAACUGGAGUGUGUGAGAGGAUAGUGGAAUUCCAGGGGUAGGAGUGAAAUCCGUAGAUAUCUGGAGGAACAUCAGUUGCGAAGGCGACUAUCUGGCACAUAACUGACGCUGAGGAGCGAAAGCGUGGGUAGCAAACAGGAUUAGAUACCCUAGUAGUC